rnacentral:lncRNA from 1 species
CUCGUAAAGAUGGAGUGUCUUGGUAUACGACGGUGGGAUUGCAGCGAGGAAUGAUAGCUGAAGAUAACGCAGGGUAAAUGAGACAAAAAUACUGAAGAGUCUGGAUUUACAGUACAC